UAAUCAUUUUUUUUUGAGAUAUACAAGAGACUCAAUAAUCUACGCCCAAAUAUCUUCAUGCAGCCUUAUUACCCGACAUUUCAAAACAAGAAAAACAAAACCCUUCGCUUUCCACCACCAAUCCUCCUCUCUCCUCCUCACUUGUCACCACCGACCUUCCUCUCUUUCUCAAGGCGACAAUUUCUGAAAAUGUCGACGACGACACCACUUGACGGGUUGCAGCUGUUACUGCUUGACACUUUGUUGCUGCUGCUGGGCCACCUCGCUACUGCUACCGCCUAACCAACGUUUCUGCUUCACGGUUACAGUUCCAAUAACUCAAAUCCUUCCUUAAUUCGCAUCUCAUCAGGGAAUUUCAGAGGUUGCCAUUAUCAAAAAUCAAAACCAAUUUUGGGGUUUUUUCGUUUUUGAGGUUUAAGGGCAUGAAUUAGAACAAAAUUAGAUUUGUUCUGACAAUUGUUGUUGAAGUAAUAUAAUAGAGGUAUGCUUUAUUCAAGCUUUAUUAUUUCUGCUUAAUUGAAAAUUGGUAGUUCUAAUCAAACUUAAUUGAACCUAAAAGAGAUGAAAUGGACUUAAUUAUUCUUUGAACUAGUUGAUUUAAGGUGAAAGAACGAGGCAUUCACUUGCUAAGAGUGGUAAAAGUGUUGUUAGGAAUUGUUAAUUUAAAGAGUAAGGGAGUCCUAGCCUAAAAUUAUGAGACACAUAGGAAAUGCAGUGUUAAUUUAAGUCCUGAGAAUCUUGUAUAUGUUAAUUUUUUGAGUGCUUUUAUUUCAUUCUAGCAAGUGUUUGAUAAUGUAUGUUAUAGCCUAUUUACUCUGUAGUGCUUCUAAUCGUAGAGUUUCAUGCACUUGGUUAGAACCUUGAAUAGUUGAAUGUGAGUUGGUUUGGUUAAGUUUUUCUUCGAAUUUUAAAGACUAGCUACGUAUUAUUCAUACCUAAAGUCAUGUUAUUUGAAAUUUGUUCUAUUUGUAUUUCCAUUUUUUAUAUGAAGUAAGUCUUUAAUGUACAAUCCCUCAAGUUAAUUUGUCCUAUAUAGCAUGUUUUAUAGUAGUCUGCUUUGUUAACACACUUAGAUUGUAUAUUAAUUGGGGUCAAUUUUGGUCUCGUUAUUUUUUUAAAAAAUUCUAUUUGAAGUGAUUUUGGGUGGUUUGUUGUUGUACCUUUGUGUGAUUGAGGUAGCUAAAAAUGGGGUAGUUCUAUGUGGCCAAAUGGUUUUUGCUUGGAGGUGAAUUGGUGGAAGCGAGUGCGACUCAGGGAACUUGGAUCUAGUUUGUUGCGUGUAAGACUCAAAAUUUGGUUUAGUUUUUGUGUGAAUUGUAUCCUAUCCUUAAUGUAGGAGAAAUACUUGUUUCUCUAAGUAGUUAAAUGUCUCCAAAGCUGCUUGCCCGUUGAAUAGAUAUUUGCCUUAAUGCUUAUUAAUUUCUUAAUGGGACUUGGUCGGGAAAUGAAUCAGGUACAAGUUAGGAAUGCAAAUGAAGUAAACAAGCUGUUCGCGAGUGUAUCGGCUCAUUGACGCCCCUAGUUUCAUCCUUGUAAAUUACAUCUUUUGAUUGCUUUGGGGUGUUGAUUCUUCUACUUAGAGGUUGUUCUUUACUCCUUUGGCCUCUUCUUGAUUGAGUGAAUGCUUAUGAUAUUGCAGAGAGAACAAGAGCCUAACGGGUACAACACCUUAUGCAAGUGUUAAUACUCAUCUUGGAAUUGAUGCCUAGGAAUCUAACUAUUUGCAAACAAUUGAAGAAUAAUAUGAGGAAGAAAAAUGGAUGACACUAACAGAGACUGAGGCUUUCAUUAAAUAUCAUUUUUUCUUUCUCUUCUAGUUUCCAAUUCCUGUUUAGUGUAACACUUGUGAACAACCAAAGAGAAAUGUUAGUUUAUUAAGGUGUUUUUGUAAAUGACAAUUAUAUUUAUCUAUAUAGUAACUUUUUAUUGAUUUGUUAAA